GAGGGUGUAGCUCAGUGGAAAGUGCGUGCUUAGCAUGCACAAGGUCUUGGGUUCAAUCCCCAGUACCUCCA
rnacentral:tRNA from 1 species